CCCGCGCGCCCGCCCCGCGCCGCCAUUUGCCGGCACCGCCGCGAGCCGGGAGGCCAUUGGUUCUUCCGCCUGUCAGUCAGAGCGGGGGCGGAGCCCCGCGAAUCGAAAGUGAAAGGCGGGAGGGCGUGUCCUGACUUCAGUAAUUUGACUUUGCCCUUCUUGAGCUUGGACACUGCUUGUUCCUGUGGCCUCUGACAAAGGCAAUAGACUGAAACCUCCUUGGCCGCCGGCUGUUGGAUGUCAGGACUGCCUUCUAGUCUGAACCUUGCAGCAUUUUUUUUGCUGGGCCAUACAAAGGAAUGGGGGAAGCAGAUCUUCCUGUCCCACACGUGGAUCGUGCCCAGCUCGGGGCGGGCAGAGCGAAGCUCGGGGGAUGCGUUGUCUUUCAAAGGCAGAGCCAGCCCUGGUUUGGGGGCUUGGCCAGCGGCUCCCCGGAGGGGAAAAGGAGAAAGGGGUGCCCAUGAGGGGCUGGGUCCCCGCUGCCCUGCCCGCCCCAGAGCCAGUGCCCGUGCUGGGAGCCCCUCGGUGCCACGCUCGCUCCCCUCUGGCCGGGCUGGUGCAGGGGAGGCUCCGGCGAGUGCAGCCCCGGCCGGCCCUGGGGACAAGGUGCUGCGGUGCCCUGGCCCUGCUGUGCCUGAGCUGAGCUCCCACUGCCCUGGCACACCGCUGGGGACACACGGACUGCCAGCCCAGUGUCCCGGCCUCACUCGUUGGCUUCCUUUUGCCGGUCCCUUCUCUAAAGCUGGGAACGCUGCGAGGCCCCUGAGGCUCUGUUCCUGUGCCCAGCCCGGCGUCUCUGUUUGCAUGGCACUCGCACCGCUCCCGGAGCUCACCGUGAUCGCCCGGGAGCACCCGCGCUCCUUACGGGGAAAGAGCCGGGAUUGUCCCUGGGAAGGCAGCCGUGUACGGGAGCCGGCCUGCAGCCCCCGCUGGGAUCGCUGUGCCUUCCCUCGGCUGCAGCUCCCGCCUGCACAGCUGUGCUACAGCUGCUGCGGGUAAAGCCAGCUGCACCGGGGACCCACGGCCACCUCUCCUCCACCCGUGCAGGGUGUCUUUUGAGGAAGGCUUGCAACAGGCUUUGCAAUGGCCUGGAAAGCCUGGAACCAAAGGAAUAACAUGAAUAUUAAAAUAUUAUUAUUUUUUUCUUUUGCCUCUACAUAGUACUGAUAAUAAUCUUUUUUUUUUUAGGCAGUGCUUUGCCUACUGAAACACACAGACAAAGAGUUAUUUAAAAAUGCUUUGUUGUCAAUACACUGAAUGAGCUGUACUAGUGACACCUAUAAUGACAACAAAAGGCUCCUCUUUUUCCGCCUGUUCUAGAACAUGCAAAGUAUCAUAAAAUCAACGAGUAGGCUUGACUGGAUAACAUUUAUCUUCAUUAUGAGUGGCUAAUUUCAAUAGGUUCUGCAAUGCUUUAGAAAGGUCAGAUGCACUGCUUGUCUCUGCUGGUCUUUUAUGCUGUGUGAUGCCAUGGAACACUUUGAAGCACAUACAGGGAAAUUUACAUAAACUUGCAAAAUUCGCGGUAAAAAAAAAAUCCCAUUGUAUCCCUGUUUAAAGAUAUAAAAUUGGUAAAACUUC